AAAAAUCUUUUUGUUAGGUCUACAUACUAUAUAAGGAAUCCGAAUAAGCUUUACACCUUUUUUUGAAUGAAAAAGAAACACUAGUCGGGAUUAGAAAUUUUCUUCUUUGCACCUACCAGUAAUUUCUACUCGAGAGACAAAAGAAAAGAAAAGAAAAAAGAAUUCAAAUAGAGCCUGUGCCGUCGCUUAAAAACAGAACCAGUGCCGCCGCGUUUAUAUCAGAUGAUAAGUAAAAC
rnacentral:lncRNA from 1 species